rnacentral:rRNA from 1 species
AUUGAACGCUGGCGGCACGCCUAACACAUGCAAGUCGAACGAGUGGCGGACGGGUGCCUAAUGCCUGUGCACCUGCCUGACGGCGCGGGACAACUACCGGACACGGUAGCUAAUACCGCCUACCAUCGGAUGUGCCCAGUGGGGAUUAGCUAGUAGGUGGGGUAAAGGCUCACCUAGGCGACGACCCCUAGCUGGUCUGAGAGGAUGACCAGCCACACUGGAACUGAGACACGGUCCAGACUCCUACGGGAGGCAGCAGUGGGGAAUAUUGCACAAUGGGCGCAAGCCUGAUGCAGCCAUGCCGCGUGUAUGAAGAAGGCCUUCGAGUGGUAAAGUACUUUCAGCGGAGAGGCGUUACCCAAAGAAGAAGCACCGGCUAACUCCGUGCCAGCAGCCGCGGUAAUAC